rnacentral:lncRNA from 1 species
GCGCUGCUGUGUUUUCCGGCGCUUUCUCCGCGCCGCCAAACCCGUUUUCUUCCUGGUGGCGUUUGGGCUUAAUACAGCUUUGGCGAGGUCGGAUGACGGGUGGGAGCCAGCGGUGGAAGGGGUGGCGAAAGUACCGGUUUGCCCCAGGCCGCCGAGGGGCCUCCUUAGAGAGACCUUGCCUGCUCCGCUCGCGUCCGCCGGGGCCGCGCGGGUCCUCCUGGCGCCGCCAGGUUCAAAAAGCCACUCGAGUUGUCACUGCGACGGCCCUGGGCCAGGAGCCGUUUCGGGAUCUGUCAAACAACGAGUUUUCGUCGUUCGAAUCAGGUUGACUGGUCCUUCAUCCCCCCAAUCUCCCGUACCUGGCGAGUCCAGCUCGUCGCGGCCUGUACCUCCCCACAGAGCUUCAAAACGGGCUUUUAGGAAGAAGGAAUGGAGGCUUUGAAGCAAUGCUAAGAAAAGAGUGAUAUGCAAGCUGAGACCAAAAAUAUGGUAUGAUUUAGCCAUACUGAAGGGGAAGGAAAUAAGAGCUGGGCAAAGCAUUCUGUGAAUUGGCUGACUCCACUUCUAUGGUGAGAGAGAGGAGUGCAUCAAAGAUUACUCCCAGUAGAGAUGGUUUC